UACAGAGGGUGCGAGCGUUGUUCGGAAUUAUUGGGCGUAAAGGGCGCGUAGGCGGCGCCACAAGUCACUUGUGAAAACUCUGGGCUCAACUCAGAGCCUGCAAGCGAAACUGUGGUGCUGGAGUAUGGGAGAGGUGCGUGGAAUUCCCGGUGUAGCGGUGAAAUGCGUAGAUAUCGUAAGGAACGCCAGUGGCGAAAGCGAGUCUCUGGGCAGCAUCUGACACUGAGGCACGAAGGCCAGGGGAGCAAACGGG
rnacentral:rRNA from 1 species